rnacentral:rRNA from 1 species
UACGGGGGGGGGCAAGCGUUGUUCGGAAUUACUGGGCGUAAAGGGCUCGUAGGCGCCAACUAAGUCAUACGUGAAAUCCCUCGGCUUAACCGGGGAACUGCGUCUGAUACUGGAUGGCUUGAGUUCGGGAGAGGGAUGCGGAAUUCCAGGUGUAGCGGUGAAAUUCGUAGAUAGUGGGGAGGAACGACCGGUGGCGAAGG